GUGCCAGUCUACUGCCCUCAUGCGAUGGAAAGCGAGCGAGAGCGAUGAGACCGUGAGCAUGGUUGAUGCCACGCAAAAGCUGUCCAUCUGGCAGCAGAAGAGCUGUCACUGUCAGUGAGAAGUGUCUGUCUGUUUUGAGGAAUUGUCCAGGAGCGCUGUCUGGAGGAGAGACUCUCAAAAGUGGACCUGAACAUCCUUCUAAGCAGACGUGAACAGUCCUCAGCUUUCUGCCUUCUGCAUAACUGGCUUACCAAGGGAAAAGAAGUCGCGUAUCAGUCUACUGUCCUCAUGCGAAGGAAAGCGAGACCGACGAGACCGCGAUCAUUGUCGAAAUCAGGCAUUAGCUGUACAUCUGGGAGCGGAGCAGUCACCGCUGUCAGUGAGAUAAAUGUCUGGUUUGGUGAGGGAUCUGCUCAUGGCCCACCUGGCUCCAGUUUGCAGAGGAAUCAUCCAGGAGCUCUCGCCAGACGAGAAUAUGCAGAAGUGGACCUGA